rnacentral:rRNA from 1 species
GGGGAGCAAACAGGAUUAGAUACCCUGGUAGUCCACGCCCCUAAACGAUGUCUACUAGUUGUCGGGACUUAAUUGUCUUGGUAACGCCANUAACGCGUGAAGUAGACCGCCUGGGGAGUACGGUCGCAAGAUUAAAACUCAAAGGAAUUGACGGGGACCCGCACAAGCGGUGGAUGAUGUGGAUUAAUUCGAUGCAACGCGAAAAACCUUACCUACCUUGACAUGUACGGAACCUCUGAGAGAUUAGAGGGUGCUCGAAAGAGAGCCGUAACACAGGUGCUGCAUGGCUGUCGUCAGCUCGUGUCGUGAGAUGUUGGGUUAAGUCCCGCAACGAGCGCAACCCUUGUCAUUAGUUGCUACGAAAGGGCACUCUAAUGAGACUGCCGGUGACAAACCGGAGGAAGGUGGGGAUGACGUCAAGUCCUCAUGGCCCUUAUGGGUAGGGCUUCACACGUCAUACAAUGGUACAUACAGAGGGCCGCCAACCCGCGAGGGGGAGCUAAUCCCAGAAAGUGUAUCGUAGUCCGGAUUGUAGUCUGCAACUCGACUACAUGAAGUUGGAAUCGCUAGUAAUCGCGAUCAGCAUGUCGCGGUNAUACGUCCCGGCCUGUAC